AGCGAACGCUGGCGGCGUGCUUAACACAUGCAAGUCGAGUGCGCAGUCUUCUGUAGCAAUACAGGAGGCGGGCGCACGGCGCACGGGUGCGUAACACGUGGGCAAUCUGCCCUCGGAUGGGGGAUAACCCCGCGAAAGCGGGGCUAAUACCGCAUGACAUUCCGAAGACUCCGGUCUUUGGACUCAAAGGCCGCAAGGCCGUCUGAGGAGGAGCCCGCGCCCGAUUAGCUAGUUGGUGAGGUAACGGCUCACCAAGGCUUUGAUCGGUAGCCGGUCUGAGAGGAUGGCCGGCCACACUGGAACUGAGACACGGUCCAGACUCCUACGGGAGGCAGCAGUGGGGAAUAUUGCGCAAUGGGCGAAAGCCUGACGCAGCGACGCCGCGUGGGGGAUGAAGCUUCUCGGAGUGUAAACCCCUUUCGACCCGGACGAAUGACCCGCAAGGGUUUGACGGUACGGGUAUAAGAAGCCCCGGCUAACUACGUGCCAGCAGCCGCGGUAAUACGUAGGGGGCCAGCGUUGCUCGGAAUUACUGGGCGUAAAGGGUUCGUAGGUGGUGCGGCAAGUCGGAAGUGAAAUCUCUGGGCUUAACUCAGAGGCUGCUUUCGAAACUGCCGUGCUCGAGUGCGAGAG
rnacentral:rRNA from 1 species